AAUAGAUACCCCGGUAGUCCACGCCGUAAACGAUGGAUACUAGGUGUAGGAGGUAUCGACCCCUUCUGUGCCGCAGUUAACACAAUAAGUAUCCCACCUGGGGAGUACGACCGCAAGGUUGAAACUCAAAGGAAUUGACGGGGGCCCGCGCAAGCAGUGGAGUAUGUGGUUUAAUUCGAAGCAACGCGAAGAACCUUACCUGGGCUUGACAUCCCUGGAAUCGAGUAGAGAUACUUGAGUGCCUUCGGGAAUCAGGUGAACAGGUGGUGCAUGGUUGUCGUCAGCUCGUGUCGUGAGAUGUUGGGUUAAGUCCCGCAACGAGCGCAACCCCUAUUGUCAGUUGCCAUCAUUAAGUUGGGCACUCUGGCGAGACUGCCGGUGACAAAUCGGAGGAAGGGUGGGGACGACGUCAAAUCAUCAUGCCCCUUAUGCCCAGGGCUACACACGUACUACAAUGGCCGAUAACAAAGUGCAGCGAAACCGUGAGGUGGAGCGAAUCACAAAAACUCGGUCUCAGUUCAGAGUU
rnacentral:rRNA from 1 species